ACAUCUGAGAACAUGCAACUGGUUUCCUUUCUUUCUUCUCCCACUGCAAUCCUCUAUAUAAAGAAAAUAUCUCACGUUCAUAUAUAUAUAGCUUCUUAUACUAUCUCUUUCUUUUUCUUAUUUCAGACUUGUAAUUGGAAGAGAAAAUGGCAAUUUCUUCCUUUUCUUCCAGGGCUUUUUUUGGAGUUUUGGUGUUCUUUGCUCUAGUCUCUGCUAUUGUUUCAUCUGCUUCGGUUAAGUAUCUAAGUGAUCGUGCUCCACCUCCUGUAAUAAUGGAACAACCAUGUGGAAGUUUAAGCAAAACUUGGCAUGGGAGAUGCAGAAGGUCACAUAACUGUAAUAGGCAUUGCAAGAAUGAUGAGCAGGCAAUAAGUGGAGCAUGUCAUGGGAUUUGGACAAAGAAGUGCUACUGCUAUUACAAAUGCGACUCAUGAGUGCAAGACAAUGAAAAACUCAUCAUUAUUGAACAAUUGUCUGUUUUUUUUUUUGUUUUUUACAAGGAAUAUAAUUAUCUUGAUAGGGAUUAAUUUUGCUGUUUUAUAGGAUGUUUUGUUUGUUUUAAGACCAUUUUAUAAGUUUCUCUGUCAACAUGUACAAUGUUGAUCAGAUUUGGUGAUUCUCAUAUGCUUUUGGAAAGAUGAAAAAUUUGAAAAUAACUUGGACUAAGUGCAAUCCAUUAAUGGUUUCUAACAUAUCAAUUAAUAUUGGAAAAAAAAUUCUUCAAAAUGGCUGAAAUCAGCAAAAGAAUGAAGUGGAAGAUGGUGAUUUUAUUAGAAAUAUCUCCAUGGGCUUUCUCUAGCUAGUUUGAACAUUUUUUUUAAUGGAUAUUUUUACAAUGAAGCUUGAGAAAAAAUAAAUAUAGAUCGAGUUAACUACAAGUAGUACCCCUGGCCUCUAACUAUCAUCUUGAUGCUGCAUGGCAUAGUGGGUCGUUGAUUCUACUGUUCUACAAGUACAAAACUCACAACUCUUUCACAAAACCAAGAAAUUCAAUGAUGGGUAGGAAAACAGAAGAAAAAUCACUCAUAGACUAUUUAUUAUGGAAAAAUUAAUAAUAACAACAAAGUUUUUAGGGCAGUCGAUCAAGCCAACCUUAUUAGGCUUAAAUAGAAGUAGGGUCUAACUCUGAAAAAUAAAUUACAAAACUACAUUGCCGCAACUCGGUCGAACGAGACAGAGCAUCAUCAUGUGAUAACAACCCUUCUGGAACAACCUCCGUGAUAUCGACAAAAGCUCUCGAGAAUUCAUAUUGAUGCUUAUCUUGUCGCCUCGUUCGAGAACAGAUAAUUGUCACUUCAGGCGUAUCGGAUCCUUUAGGAAGCAAUGGGGCCAGCUGAUUUUGCUUACUUCUCUUUACGAUCAGAGAUGAUGUAAUUAGGUGAUCAAGAGAUUUCAGCUUCAUAAUAUGUCUACUAUUUGUAUAAAAAGUAUAUAUAUUAUGAAGCUGCUUGUUGAUUUGUAGAAUAUUCUAAUUAAACCUUUAGUGACCAGAGUCAUACAAUUUCUUUAA